CCUACGGGUGGCAGCAGUGGGGAAUAUUGGACAAUGGGGGGAACCCUGAUCCAGCCAUGCCGCGUGUGUGAAGAAGGCCCUCGGGUUGUAAAGCACUUUCAGUGAGGAAGAACGCCUGGUGGUUAAUACCCAUCAGGAAAGACAUCACUCACAGAAGAAGCACCGGCUAACUCCGUGCCAGCAGCCGCGGUAAUACGGAGGGUGCGAGCGUUAAUCGGAAUUACUGGGCGUAAAGCGCGCGUAGGUGGCUUGAUAAGCCGGGUGUGAAAGCCCCGGGCUCAACCUGGGAACGGCAUCCGGAACUGUCAAGCUAGAGUGCAGGAGAGGAAGGUAGAAUUCCCGGUGUAGCGGUGAAAUGCGUAGAGAUCGGGAGGAAUACCAGUGGCGAAGGCGGCCUUCUGGACUGACACUGACACUGAGGUGCGAAAGCGUGGGUAGCAAACAGGAUUAGAUACCCUAGUAGUC
rnacentral:rRNA from 1 species